rnacentral:rRNA from 1 species
GGUGGGGACUCGUAAGAGACUGCCGGGGUCAACUCGGAGGAAGGUGGGGACGACGUCAAGUCAUCAUGCCCCUUAUGUCCAGGGCUUCACACAUGCUACAAUGGCCGGUACAGAGGGCUGCGAUACCGUGAGGUGGAGCGAAUCCCUUAAAGCCGGUCUCAGUUCGGAUCGGGGUCUGCAACUCGACCCCGUGAAGUCGGAGUCGCUAGUAAUCGCAGAUCAGC